CAAUUAGCUCCUAUCUAGGAGCUGACCGGGCAGGCAAUUAGUUGUCCCCUGGAGGUCUAAUGAGCUUGCAGGAAUUUCCCUCUUCGGGGCACUGACUGCACUUGGUUACCCUUAAUGCAGUUUUCAAGCACAAACAAAGAGAAAAACAAUUGACGGCCUUCUAAUCUAACAAAUAUCAACAACCAAGUUCAGAUUGUCCCAGAUGUCCUGAAGUAGCUAACCUCAGGAGAACCUACGUUUACUUGAUUUUCAUCAUUCUCCUUGCUUGCUCGUGACUAGAAGAGAAAUUUUAUCAUGUCAAAGUGUCAGAAAUAUUCUACAAUGAUUGCUGCAAUCACUGGAAAAAAGAACUCUGGAACCUUGACUACUUUAUCAUCACACCAGCCACUGAACUCUUUUUUCUUGGAUAUAUUCCUGGUGACAAAUACUUAAAACGUCAUUUAAUGAUAGGAAGCAGGUUGUGCAACAUUUGUACUGCAUCUGGUAAAUCUGCCCUAAACUGGAGCAUGCGUUUGCUGAUGUGUAGAAAGUGUGACCAUUUUAACAAGUAUCCUUUUAUUAAAAUUAGUUAGGUUCCUCAAGAUUGUUUAUUAUUUUCCUAUCAAAUCUGUGAGAAGUAGAGCAAAUCCCCAUAGUCUGAAUGGGGGGGGGGAGUUGAUUAAAUAUAAUAUUUAGAUCUAAUCCUGAAACAGGUGGAUCAUAAAUAGAGUGUGGAAUAUUCAGAAUAAAAGAGGGGAAUUAUACAUGAGAUUUGGUUCAAGUAUUCUGGCAUCGUAUUCUAAUCCUACCCUACCCAUGUGGAUUGAUGAAAUGACUGAAUUUACCUAAAUUGCCAUUAAGCAAUCUGCUUGAUAUAUCAUGAUAGUUCUUUAUUCUUCCUCAGAUACUUUUACCCAUUAUGAAUACUAUAGACAUCCCAGGUCUUAUUUCUGGGUUGACCAGAGUUGAACUGAAUUGUUAUCAGGCCACUUGUUCAAAAACAGUUAUUCAAGUAUUUAAAAAAAAAAGAUGAAUAAAUAGGAAAAUAGAAAGUUAGUUCUGUUUUCCUUCAUACAUGUUUUUAUGUCCAGUUUAUUUUACAAGUUUGAUCCCCAGAAGUAUAGUUUAUUGGCCAGUACUUUUUUAUCCUAAGCCAUGGAAGCUAGGCAGUAAAUACCUUAAGCCAAAAAAAAAUAUAUAAUCUGUGUGUUUGAGGCUAGACUGUGUGACUGGGGCUUAGUGGUUCACCAAAAUAAAUUGCAGGAAAGGCAGUUGCCUGAUAUUCAAAAACUUGAAUACCAUCAGGAUUCUAUCUUCUGACCUUGUUUCUUUCUAUACAUUGGUUCUAUUCACUUCUAUUAUAGUUUGAUCUAUGAUCAUAAGGAAAAAUGAGAUGAAAAUGUAACAAGGGUGAGAGGAGCACAUAUGGCUAUGGGAAAUUUAACUACUACAAUCCCACUAUUUAAUUAUUAAAACUGAAGAAGUUAUUUCUCUCAGCUCUACUUCAAAACAAUCCUGAAAUAGGAUUUUAAUUCACCCAGCUUGUUUGCAGCCCUUAGACCAAUCUGGAUGGCAAAUGAUUGCAAUAUCAAGAUUGGAUUUCCUUGGAUCAUGUUCCUACAAAUUAUACCACAUUAUAGGAUGUGGAGAAAAUGAAUCAUAUAGGAAGAUCUCAGCUCCCACUUGACAAAAGUAAUAAAAUAGGGUAAAGAUAGUUUCUGCAAAAAAAGAGAAACUGGAGUUUCUGAUACAUAGGUCAUUACUAGAGCUGCUAUACUGUUACUAGAGCAAUUAGAGUAACAAAUAUGCAGUACCCAAAGUGCUGGCUACUGGCAAUAGUGAAGAAAACUCAUAGAAGUUGAGUGCUUCAGGAGCAUGGAUUGCGAAACAAGAGAAA